rnacentral:rRNA from 1 species
GUCUACAGCCAUGCUACCCUGAACAAGCCUGAUCCCAUCUGAUCUCGGAAACUAAGCAGGGUUGGGCCUAGUACUUGGAUGGGAGACCACCUAGGAAGACCAGAUGCUAUAGGCA